rnacentral:rRNA from 1 species
ACGGCGUCGAGCGGCGGACGGGUGAGUAAUGCCUAGGAAAUUGCCCUGAUGUGGGGGAUAACCAUUGGAAACGAUGGCUAAUACCGCAUGAUGCCUACGGGCCAAAGAGGGGGACCUUCGGGCCUCUCGCGUCAGGAUAUGCCUAGGUGGGAUUAGCUAGUUGGUGAGGUAAGGGCUCACCAAGGCGACGAUCCCUAGCUGGUCUGAGAGGAUGAUCAGCCACACUGGAACUGAGACACGGUCCAGACUCCUACGGGAGGCAGCAGUGGGGAAUAUUGCACAAUGGGCGCAAGCCUGAUGCAGCCAUGCCGCGUGUGUGAAGAAGGCCUUCGGGUUGUAAAGCACUUUCAGUCGUGAGGAAGGUAGUGUAGUUAAUAGCUGCAUUAUUUGACGUUAGCGACAGAAGAAGCACCGGCUAACUCCGUGCCAGCAGCCGCGGUAAUACGGAGGGUGCGAGCGUUAAUCGGAAUUACUGGGCGUAAAGCGCAUGCAGGUGGUUUGUUAAGUCAGAUGUGAAAGCCCGGGGCUCAACCUCGGAAUUGCAUUUGAAACUGGCAGACUAGAGUACUGUAGAGGGGGGUAGAAUUUCAGGUGUAGCGGUGAAAUGCGUAGAGAUCUGAAGGAAUACCGGUGGCGAAGGCGGCCCCCUGGACAGAUACUGACACUCAGAUGCGAAAGCGUGGGGAGCAAACAGGAUUAGAUACCCUGGUAGUCCACGCCGUAAACGAUGUCUACUUGGAGGUUGUGGCCUUGAGCCGUGGCUUUCGGAGCUAACGCGUUAAGUAGACCGCCUGGGGAGUACGGUCGCAAGAUUAAAACUCAAAUGAAUUGACGGGGGCCCGCACAAGCGGUGGAGCAUGUGGUUUAAUUCGAUGCAACGCGAAGAACCUUACCUACUCUUGACAUCCAGAGAACUUUCCAGAGAUGGAUUGGUGCCUUCGGGAACUCUGAGACAGGUGCUGCAUGGCUGUCGU